UCACAGAAAACCAAAGUGAUACAAGGACUC
rnacentral:piRNA from 1 species